rnacentral:rRNA from 1 species
GCAAGUCGAACGGUAACAUUGGUGCUUGCCCCCGAUGACGAUUGGCGCACGGGUGCGUAACGCGUAUGCAAUCUACCUUUUACUGACGAAUAGCCCAGAGAAAUUUGGAAUAAUCCUUCAUAAUAUCAUUUAUCAGCAUUGAUUUAUGAUUAAAGCUCCGGCGGUAAAAGAUGAGCAUGCGUCCUAUUAGUUUGUUGGUGAGGUAACGGCUCACCAAGACUACGAUAGGUAGGGGCCCUGAGAGGGUGAUC